UACGUAGGGUGCGAGCGUUAAUCGGAAUUCAUGGGCGUAAAGCGUGCGCAGGCGGUUUCACAAGCUCGAUGUGAAAGCCCCGGGCUUAACCUGGGAAUGGCAUUGAGGACUGUGGAGCUCGAGUGCGGCAGAGGGAGGUGGAAUUCCACGUGUAGCAGUGAAAUGCGUAGAGAUGUGGAGGAACACCGAUGGCGAAGGCAGCACUCUGGGACGUGACUGACGCUGAGACGCGAAAGCGUGGGGAGCAAACAGG
rnacentral:rRNA from 1 species